AGAAUAGGAACAGAGGAGUGAUUUUGUUUUGAGGGCAAUUAAGGUUCGUGGAGCUCAGCUACUUUCUUCGAAGCUGAGAUGGAAGUUUGACUGUGGAAUUUUCUCCUUUUUGGUCAAAGCUUGUGGGUUUGACCGGACUCGUCAGGGCUUUUCUCAGAAGGCGGCUUAUCUUUAUGUUCCUCAGAUCACGCCACGUGGCUCAUUUCUGUAUACGUGGACAGCACUCGAACAACGCAUCUUAUCGAAUAUGUUCAUCUCUCUCUCUCUCUUUCUGAUAUAUAUAUAUAUAUAUUUAUAUCUUUUCCCCUUUUGUGAUGAAUAAUGAUAAAUAGUACAUGAAAUAUUUAUUUUAAGCUCUAGUUUUGAAUAUGAUUAGUAAUAUAAUUAAGCAAGAAAGGAGUGACAACGACAGAAGUCUUCAUUUCAAUUUCGAGAGCUGCUUCAGCAUUACAUCUCCAUUUAAGAAAUUAGAACAGUCAGACAUUUCUUUAGGGAGGAAAAGAGGUACUAAGUUUAUGGACUCUGUUGAUCCAAUUUUCUUUUGGGCCUUACAUAAUAGCCCACUGCUUUUACAGAGUUGUUUUUUCAGUGGGUCCAUCCAGUUUUGGAAUUUGCUUGGCCCCAUGUUCCCUCAUUUUCAAACUUUGCAAAAUGAAACAGUAUUAACACAUCUUCACUCUUAGUCUAAGCUUCAAACUAGGAGAGAGAAAAGCAUCCCAUUUGGAGAAGAGCCACUGAAAAUGUUGAAUUCACCAAAAACAGAGGCAUCCACAAAAUCUUCAUACAUAUCAGGUAGGUUAGCUUCAUUCUAGAAGACAAUUUGCAUCUCAUCUUCCAAUUGCAUUUUCCAGCACUUAGGGUCCAACUCAGCCUGCCGAUCAUGUAAAAAGCUACUUAGGAUCCCAUAGUAGGGCAUAAGAUUGUUAAAUAUCCCCUAAACAUUGAUUCAGGCUCCAAUCCUUUUAUAUUCAACAAAAGAAGAAAAAAGGACAAUUUUAAUAGCCUAACAUUGAUUCGAGUUCAAAACUUUUAUUCUUGUCGAGCACAAAAUUCCUAAGGUUGAUACGUGAUUAUAUAGAAAUCAGAAUGCAUUAACAAGUACCUGAAAUAUUUUCUCUCUCCACUCGAAUGUGCAUCCCCGGACUUCCAAGUGCUUAAGAAGACGUUCGGGUAGCAGAGCUUGAAACAGUGCAUGAAGCUUCACUUUUGUUAGAGAACUAUUUGCCAACAAGGCAGCUGCAACUCCACUUGGAGUUAAUCUGUUUGUAUGCAAUACAGUCAAAUGCUGAAGGCAGCCAAGGCUGGCGAGAGACAGAAGUCCCAGAUCAGUAACCGAGCUAUAAGACAAAUUUAUCUGUUGAGAAAUUAAAGAAGUUAAUUAUAUGCUUUUCUACCUGUUCUACUUUGGGAAACAGUUAAAAGAGAGCAAUGAUCACCUGUCUGAGGUUUUGAGAGAAAUGAGCAAGAGGGAUCAUGCCAGCAUCAUCAACAUUGCAACACUUUUUUAAGUCUAGUCGCCUCAGUAACUUGCAUCCUGCCACAGCUUCAGCUAAGCCAAAAGAUGUUAUAAGUGGGCAUCCACGAGCUUCUAUUGUCUUUAGCCUUGAGCACUUACGAAGAGAUGAAAAUGACUUGUCGGUGAUGUCCCGACAAUAUGCUAUAUUUAUCAUUUCAAGAUCAGGGCAACCAUGGAUGAUUGCCAAAAGGCCAGAAUCAGUAAUUCCUGCACACCUGAUGAGGAAAAAAGAAGACAAAAACAUAAAGUCAGUCCAGGUCCAAGUCCCUUAAAUACAGAGAAGAAAAAAUCAUGAGAAGUCAUAAACCUGUAUAAAUCUAGCUCCAAAAGCUUGGAGCAGCACGUGCCGAUAUGGCCAAGUCCCUCGUCAUUAAGAUUCAGACAAAUUCCAAGCUUUAAGAUGGAGAGCUUUGAACACCUAGAUAAUGAUCUCAAACCUGCAUAGAUUAGAUAUUGAUGAUAAGUAUGCCACCAAAUGCAGUCCACAAUACAAGGAGAUUCAUAGCCAAUAAGAAGAAUCUUAAGGACCUUCAUUAUCGAUUUCGUUGUCAGUUAAAUCAAGCUCCUCAAGCAAAUGACAUCCUCGUCCAAUCAGGAUAAAUCCUUCUCUGCUUACUAAGGAGCAAGACUCCAUUUUUAGAGAAGUUAGGCUGGUACAAGAGUUGGUAAGAUUUGAAAUAGAAACAUCAGUUAUCUUGCGACAACAAGUUAUGUCAAGCUUCUUCAAAUCUUUGUGUUUCUUCAGGAUGGAGAUGAGACCUUCAUCAGUCACACCAACACAUUUGCUUAAGCUCAGGUCACUCAGUGAUGCACAGCAAUUUCCUAUGGCUUCAAGUCCAUCAUAAGUAACAACACAGCCAUCCAAUUUGACUGAUUGUAACAUGGAUAAGUUCUUUAAACUAUUAGCCAGAGCAAGAGUCACCUAAACCAUCAACAGAAAACAAUAUUACUUAAUAAACAAGGAAAUACAAAGAGGAUCUAAAGUUAAAACAUAGAGAUUAAGUUGAAGGACUUACAGGAGAGCCAUACGCUAAUGUAAGCUGCUGUAAAGAUGUUGUAGCGCGGGUCAGGGAAGAUAGCCCAGUAGGACUAAUAUUCGGACAACUCGAUACAUCAAGUUUCUGUGGAAAUUGAAAUGUAUGCCAAUGUCAUAAUAUGCUUUCAAGUGAUGCACAAAAACCUGGAACAUUAUCAGGUUCUAGCAACAACUUUUAAUUUUAUAAAUGAGCUACUAAGCCAGAGUCUCUCAAACAAGGCCAAUGGUUAUAUGAGCCAAUAGGGAGCACAACUAAAAGAAUAACUGCCUAAGUUCAUUAAAAUUUACCUUUAAGGACUUGCAUCCAUAUCUAAUAACACCAAGGCAGUCAUCAUCUAUGCCAAAGCAUCCCUCUAACACCAAAUCUUCAAGAUACUUGAGCUUUAAUAUGGAUGGUAAACAUUUUUCUGUGAUCUGACAAGGAAAAAAAGAAAGGAGCACCAAUGUUCAUAUACCUAACGAAAAGUUAAACACUCGUUGAGCAUAAAACUCAGCCACAAGUAACAACUGAAGCCCCAAAAGCCAGGAAUUCAAUAACAAUCAACACAAAGCUAAUUCAUGAACUGGAUAUUACGCUGAAAAAUGUAUAUAUUCUCUCACUCCAUAAUUAAAAAUAAAUAUAUAUAUAUGAAAGAAAAACCCAUUCAAUGCCAAGACAAAGCAAACUACCUGCAUAUAGGAGAGAUCCAAACCACGAAUUUGUUCACACUUAACAGCGAUCAAACCGACCCCCAAAUCUCCAAUACUCAUACACCACUUUAAGCUAAUGAAUCUCAAUUUGGUGCAUCCAACUGCAAUACACCCAAUCCCCAUAUCCGUUAUCAAUUUACACCUCCCCAACCACAGCUUCUCAAGAUUUUUGGCUUUAGCUAAAGCCACCGCCGCGGCAUCUCUAAGCUCCGUUGCGUUGGACAAGUCGAUUUCCACCAAAUUUGUACAAUUCGUAGCCAAACUCAACAACCCAGUAGCCGAAAAGAAUUUAGACCUGGAAAGGUCUAGAGAACGAAGCUUAGAGUUGCAGGCCUUAGAAAUGAUGACCAAGGAGGCAUCGGUGACGCGAGGGGAGAGGGAAAAAUCAAGAUGGGUUAAUUGCGUAUAACGUUGAAGCACAGAAGGAAGAUGCUCAGAACGAAGAGGUUUGAGGAUUUUGCGGUGCUUUGCUUCGACAUAGUAGAAUGACUUGCAGGUUAAGGAGAAGGAUUUGAGAUCAAUUGGAUUAGAGGUGAGUAAGUCGAGGAUGGAAAAAAUGAUUUCAUCAGAAAUCAGAUCAAAAGGGUUUGUGUGUUCAAUGAAUUUCUGCCUCUUCAUGGCUUGAGAAGAAGGAAAUAUUUUUGCGUCUAAACUCUAAAGAAAAGAAAAACCCAUAUUAUAAAACAAAAAAAAUGGAGAAGGAAAAAGAAAGCGAGAAGUCUGUGAAGAACUGGUUGAAUCUGAGGCGUUGGCUAGAAAAUCGGAAUGUUAGGAACCGGGAAGAACGAGACCAACUACUUCCUCAGAUGGAGCGAUUAACUGUUAACGGAAAAUACUGAUUACAAGGUUUCGGGAUACCAACGUCCAAUACCCAUGGGAUUAAGGAAGAGAAAGAUUCCUAAUUACGUUACUACCCUCACAACGUCGAUGAUACGCUAAUUUUAUAAAUAUUACUACUCCCAUUUUUAAUAUAAUAAUAAUAACAAUAAAUAAUAUCUAAAUUUCUCGGGUGUAAGUAGGAGAGAAAUAGAGAUUUCUAGAGUAAUCAAUUUAUGAAAAAUAAUAGUAAUAAGAAUAAAAAUGGAGGAGGGUAUGUUGGUAAUUUAAAAGGAGAAGGAGGUCCGUACCGGAGAAAAAGGACAGGAAGGACUGAGUGGAAAGUAGAAGAAAAAAGAAGGUGGGGUUAAUAAUGUAAUUUGGGAAAGAAGACGUCGUAAUCAGGAGGAGUCAUCCAGUGGAGGAGUAUGCGAGGAAGGAGGGAUUCAAUUUCAAAGUGCAUACAACCUGUACGAUCGAAGAAACGGCAGACCUAACAAAAAAAAAAAAAAAAAGAAAAGGGUUUGAGUUUGAUAUUAUAUAAGAAUAUGAGAGAGAGAAUAAAGAAAAGAAAAAAAAAAAGGAGGAGUUUUAGGGUGGGGGAAGGGGAGAAGGAGAGAAAAUGGAUGAGUCAAAAUGAAAGGGAAAGGGAAAGGGAAAAAUGGCCGUACUUAUUGUAGUUGGUGGUGCUGUGGGCAGCCAUAGUACCGACCUUACUCAGAUAAGAACGGUGAGAGAUGAAAGCGUCAAAAGUGGGCUAACAUUUGGGCCCCCACCAUUUCCCAUUCUCUCUCUCUUAAAAUUAAAUAAAUAUAUAUAAUUAAUAUUCUCUUUUUUUUUUCUUUUUUUACAAAAUGUAUAUAUAUAAAUGUUAGAUUAAGCUGAAACAGGUGUCAUUCUAAACAGAAUAAAUUCUAAAGUAAUUCCUACUUUCAUGUCACUUUAUCAUUUUCCAUUUCACUAAAUUCUUAUACUCCUAAUUUUCUACAUGCAAAAUAAUAUAAGAAAGUAUCAACAAAACAUAAAUAAUAAACACGUUUUGAAAACUAGUAAAUGUUUAUUAAUUCAUUAAUUACACUAUCAACAAACGUUUUUAUAAAAAAAUCUUGUUUAUAAUAGUAUAAUAAAUUUUUGCAAAUGUAACUUAACUGAUUUCAAUGUGCGUCAAUGAAUGAAGAUUUUGAAAGGAGAUGGAAGUGUAAAAGGAGAUGUGGUGUGGAGAUAGAUGGGGAUUUCUAGAUUUUAUUCCAACGCCAGACCUGGUGAAGGCACCAACUGCACCUCCCGGCCCCAACCUCCCUAUCUCUCUAUUCAUUCUUUUUGCCUUUUCUAUUUUUUUCUUCCUCUACCAAUAUUUUAAUGUAACCCCUAAUUUCUUCUUUUUAUUACAAAUACUAUUCAUGUCUUUGUCAUUCUUUUUUAAAUUAAUAUCACUAAUAAUCUCUUAACCAUUCGAUUCAAAUUGGUU
rnacentral:lncRNA from 1 species